rnacentral:rRNA from 1 species
GUGCCAGCAGCCGCGGUAAUACGUAGGGUGCGAGCGUUAAUCGGAAUUACUGGGCGUAAAGCGUGCGCAGGCGGUUUUGUAAGGCAGAUGUGAAAUCCCCGGGCUUAACCUGGGAACUGCGUUUGUGACUGCAAGCUAGAGUACGGCAGAGGGGGGUGGAAUUCCUGGUGUAGCAGUGAAAUGCGUAGAUAUCAGGAGGAACACCGAUGCGAAGCCAGCCCCUUGGCCCUGUACUGACGCUCAUGCACGAAAGCGUGGGAGCAAACAGGAUUAGAUACCCUGUAGUCC